rnacentral:misc_RNA from 1 species
GUGAAUCAUCAAAUUUUUGAACGCAAAUUGCACUCUCCGGUUUUCCGGGAGAGUAUGCCUGUUUGAGGGUCAGCCUAAAAAAAAUCGGCAUUGUGGCUGUUAUUUAAUGGUGACUUUCGUCGGAGAUUGGGUUAUCUUAAACCUUUUUUUUUUUUGUUUUAAGGGAAUUAAAACUUUUUUUCACUGUUCACUGAA